rnacentral:rRNA from 1 species
CGGUGGAGCAUGUGGUUUAAUUCGAUGCAACGCGAAGAACCUUACCUGGGCUUGACAUCCCGGGAAUCCCCUUGGAAACAAGGGAGUGCCCUUCGGGGAACCUGGAGACAGGUGCUGCAUGGCUGUCGUCAGCUCGUGCCGUGAGGUGUUGGGUUAAGUCCCGCAACGAGCGCAACCCUCGUCCCAUGUUGAUUUCUCAUGGGAUACUGCCCUGUACAGCAGGGAGGAAGGUGGGGAUGACGUCAAGUCAGCAUGGCCUUUAUGCCCUGGGCCACACACACGCUACAAUGGGUGGUACAGAGGGUUGCCACGGAGCAAUCCGGAGCUAAUCCCUUAAAACCAUCCUCAGUUCGGAUUGCAGGCUGCAAUCGCCUGCAUGAAGCCGGAGCUGCUAGUAACCGCAGGUCAGCUAUACUGCGGUGAAUACGUUCUCGGGCCUU